rnacentral:lncRNA from 1 species
UUUUCAUUUGUACUUCUCUUUUAAUAGUAUAGAGAUAUAGAAAAAUUCAACACAAAAUAAUUGGUCAGUCGAGAAACAAUCGGACGUUAUAAUUACUGAACUGCUAUAAAUCUGUAAAGUAAAACGUAAAGAUUAUUUAAAAUGGGGGCGAAGAUGAAAACAUAGCAACGUUGGAGUGUUUCAAAAAUAUUUGGUUGGAUGAGAUCAAAUCAAACUAGUCAAAUUAUCUCCCUCCCAAGCGGGAACAACACGCCAUGUCCACACUUAAUCCAUUUUUCUUUCUCUGAAAUAUAUAGAGAUACGUACAUCGAUAAUAUUCUUAUACUCCCUCUGUUUCACAAAAAGUAUCAUUUUAGAGUUUUGCACACAGAUUAAGAAAACAUUAAAUUUUUUGUUUUUUCUAAACAAAAACAUCAUUAACUAUAUACCUAAACAUAAUCUGUCCAAUAGUAAAACAAUCUGUAGAAUACUAAUAGUCAUAAAACAUAAAAAAUUAUUAAAUUUUGCAUUGAAAACCUAAAACGACACUCUUUGUGAAACAAAAAUAAUACCUUAAAACGACACUCUUUAUGAAACGGAGGUAGUAUUAUAAAAUAAAUUAGAAAUAUCAUAUACCACAUGCUAAGUUGUAUAAAGAGAAUUAUUAGUGUUUGCUAAUUGCAAUAAAUACAUACAUUUCCUAUUGGUCUAGACAAAAAAGAGCUACACAUUAAGAAGGAAACUGAAAAACAAAAAGAAAAGCAAAAUAAGUUUAGGAUAUUUGUAUGAGUGUAUGAGACAACAGUAUCAGAUAAGAUCAUAAUCCUUGCGACCUUACCUAUCCAAAAGUCUCUUCUUUUUUUUUGUUUCUAAUCAAUGUACAAAACAUUUAACCAAAAAAAAUAUAAAUAUGGUGAAUAAAAUAUGGAUACAACAAUUGCUUCAAAGGGGGAUGAACUUAAAAUAUACCAAAAAAAGAAGAAGUGAGGAUAGGUUCAUGUGAGCCCCCAUCCCACUUGACCCUCUUGGUAGGUCCCCAUUUACCAUGAACAUGUAACCCAUUGGUUCUUCAUUUGUAUGUAUUGUUUUGUCAAAACUAUGACUUAAUUUUAUUUUUUAUCCUCUUCUCUGACUUAUUUUUUUUUUAAUCUCUGACUCUUCAAUGUAUGUCAAUGUCACAAAACAAUUGAACAUAUUUGGAUUGUUGAAAAACAUAUCGAUAUUCAGUGACUUCUUUCUCCUCUAGCAUCUAGAUUGUCAUAACUGUCUUGAAUUGUACAUAAAAUUUUAUAUGAAUUGAUCAUAUGCUAAUACCUCAAUGAAUCAAUGAUCUAUUAGAAUACAAGUUUUAAUUCAAAACUAAUGCGCAAUGAAUGGAUUGACUCAUAUAUCUUAUAUAUUAGUCAAUAUUUUUUUUAUUUUUUAAUAUGAGAUAUUAUUAUUUUUAAUACGCUCAUUCGAGAUGAUGAUGACUCUUCUACCAUUGGUCUCGGUAUGCUCGCGCAUGAAUCAGCAGACCCAGUGGCGGAGGUAGUGAAGAGGGAGGGGAGUCAAUUGACCCCCAUAACAUUUAUGAUUUUUUGUUUUUUAAGGUAAGUUUGACAAUAAUUAUGGAUAUUUUGGUUUAAUUUUUCCAUAAUGACCCUCAUCCAACAAUCAAUUCCUUAAUUUGACCCCUCUGAUGUUUAUUUUUUAUUUAGCAUUAAUUCAUUUUUCAUUUUUUGUUUUAUGUUUUUUCUAAU